rnacentral:rRNA from 1 species
GAGUUUGAACCUGGCUCAGGACGAACGCUGGCGGCACGCUUAACACAUGCAAGUCGAACGGACUUGAGAGAGCUUGCUCUCUCAAGUUAGUGGCGGACGGGUGAGUAACACGUGAGCAACCUGCCUUUAAGAGUGGGAUAACGGUCGGAAACGACCGCUAAUACCGCAUAAUAUACAUGAAUCGCAUGGUUUGUGUAUCAAAGAUUUAUCGCUUAAAGAUGGGCUCGCGUCUGAUUAGCUGGUUGGUGAGGUAACGGCUCACCAAGGCGACGAUCAGUAGCCGUACUGAGAGGUAGAACGGCCACAUUGGGACUGAGACACGGCCCAGACUCCUACGGGAGGCAGCAGUGGGGAAUAUUGCACAAUGGAGGAAACUCUGAUGCAGCGAUGCCGCGUGAGGGAAGAAGGUUUUCGGAUUGUAAACCUCUGUCUUAGGGACGAUAAUGACGGUACCUUAGGAGGAAGCUCCGGCUAACUACGUGCCAGCAGCCGCGGUAAUACGUAGGGAGCGAGCGUUGUCCGGAAUUACUGGGUGUAAAGGGAGUGUAGGCGGGAUGGUAAGUUAGGUGUGAAAUGCGGAGGCUCAACCUCCGAGCUGCACUUAAAACUGCUGUUCUUGAGUGAAGUAGAGGUUGGCGGAAUUCCCAGUGUAGCGGUGAAAUGCGUAGAUAUUGGGAGGAACAUCAGUGGCGAAGGCGGCCAACUGGGCUUUUACUGACGCUGAGGCUCGAAAGCGUGGGGAGCAAACAGGAUUAGA